GACGAACGCUGGCGGCGUGCCUAAUACAUGCAAGUAGAACGCACAGUUUAUACCGUAGCUUGCUACACCAUAGACUGUGAGUUGCGAACGGGUGAGUAACGCGUAGGUAACCUGCCUGGUAGCGGGGGAUAACUAUUGGAAACGAUAGCUAAUACCGCAUAAUAUUAAUUAUUGCAUGAUAAUUGAUUGAAAGGUGCAAUUGCACCACUACCAGAUGGACCUGCGUUGUAUUAGCUAGUAGGUGAGGUAACGGCUCACCUAGGCGACGAUACAUAGCCGACCUGAGAGGGUGAUCGGCCACACUGGGACUGAGACACGGCCCAGACUCCUACGGGAGGCAGCAGUAGGGAAUCUUCGGCAAUGGACGAAAGUCUGACCGAGCAACGCCGCGUGAGUGAAGAAGGUUUUCGGAUCGUNA
rnacentral:rRNA from 1 species